AUACGUAGGUGGCAAGCGUUAUCCGGAAUUAUUGGGAGUAAAGAGUGAGCAGGCGGUUAAUUAAGUCUGCGGUUAAAGCGUGGGGCUCAACCCCAUAAAGACUUGGAAACUGAUUGUCUAGAGGACGGGCGAAGUGAAGGGAACUCCAUGUGUAGGGGUGAAAUGCGUAGAUAUAUGGAAGAACACCAGUGGCGAAGGCGCUUCACUAGCCCGAAACUGACGCUCAGUCACGAAAGCGUGGGUAGCAAAUAGGAUUAGAUACCCUAGUAGUCCACGCUGUAAACGAUGACAACUAAAUAUUGCCGCGAGGCAGUGUUGAAGCUAACGCAUUAAGUUGUCCGCCUGGGGAGUACGGUCGCAAGACUGAAACUUAAAGGAAUUGACGGGG
rnacentral:rRNA from 1 species